rnacentral:pre_miRNA from 7 species
UUCUACUUUUGUAAGACCCCCUUUCAGGGACCCCCACUCUAGUCUCAGGAGUGUGAGAGCACCCAAAGAAACACGAGGACCC